GGAGGGUGCAAGCGUUAUUCGGAAUCACUGGGCGUAAAGAGCGCGUAGGCGGUUUCUAAAGUCAGAUGUGAAAGCCCGGGGCUCAACCUCGGAAGUGCAUUUGAAACUUAGGGACUUGAGUAUGGGAGAGGGAAGUGGAAUUCCUGGUGUAGCGGUGAAAUGCGUAGAUAUCAGGAGGAACACCGGUGGCGAAGGCGACUUCCUGGACCAAUACUGACGCUGAGGCGCGAAGGCGUGGGGAGCAAACAGGAUUAGAUACCCUGGUAGUCCACGCAGUAAACGUUGAACACUAGGUGUAGCGGGUAUUGACCCCCUGCUGUGCCGCAGCUAACGCAUUAAGUGUUCCGCCUGGGGAGUACGGCCGCAAGGCUA
rnacentral:rRNA from 1 species